ensembl:lncRNA
AACACCAUAGUACCCUCCAAGCUCGUCAUCAAGCUCGAGACCCUGGGUCUCGACCCCGCCCUGUGCAACUGGGUACUGGACUUCCUGACGGGCCGCCCCCAGGUGGUGAGGGUAGGCAACAACAUCUCCACCUCGCUGAUCCACAACACUGGGGCCCCACAAGGGUGCGUUCUGAGCCCUCUCCUGUACUCCCUGUUCACCCACGACUGCGUGGCCACGCACGCCUCCAACUCAAUCAUCAAGUUUGCGGACGACACAACAGUGGUAGGCUUGAUUACCAACAACGACGAGACGGUCUACAGGGAGGAGGUGAGGGCCCUCGGAGUGUGGUGUCAGGAAAAUAACCUCACACUCAACGUCAAUAAAACUAAGGAGAUGAUUGUGGACUUCAGGAAACAGCAGAGGGAACACCCCCCUAUCCACAUCGAUGGAACAGUAGUGGAGAGGACAACAACCACCCGAGCCACUGCCUGUUCACCCCGCUAUCAUCCAGAAGGCCUCACAAGACUCGCCUGAAGGUCCCCGGUACCAGAGGAAAAAAUCAAAGGAAGUAUAUAUGGAAAAUGUUUAAUGCCAAAAAUAAGUGAUUAAAUACAUGUAAAAAAACCAAACUAUUUGUUCAAUGUAGUGAAGCUGUUAUUCAAUGCAAUUGUAUGGGCUAAUAGCAGUAAGUCCAAAAAUAAUUUUUCAGCAAAUAUUUUUUAAUAAUAUUUUUUUAAUAUUUCAAGUGGUCUUAAAAUUCUAAAUAAAAUUGCUAAAUGAUCAUUGGUAUGACCUUCUUAAAACAAUUCCAUAUAGCUGAGACAGGGUUUAGACUGAGGGGUGACUGUUGUAACAGCAGUAAAUAGGUGUCACUUGUACUCAGCAUUCCACACGCACACAAGCAAACAUUGUACAAUAGCUAGCUCCAAAUCAGACCUUUCCCUUAGGUACAGAUCAAGGAUCAGCUUACCCUCCCCAUCUCCAAAACUUUAGUUUCUAGCAGGAAAUGCGUCCUUCUCCACCAUAAUAACCACCACACUUUUUAGCCAUACCACCCACCUCCAGGGCUCAUAAUGUACCAUUCCCCUGGGCAGAGAGAAGGGGGCCCUGCCCUUCCUGUAACACACCCUGGCCUGCAUGGCUCUCCUGCUCACUGCCCACUGCUAACUGUUCCAGGGAAAAGGCAUGUGGUUGGUUCCAAAUAUUAGGGUCUCCUCCUUUUUCUCUGGGUCCUUCCUAUCACACAGCACAAAUUAAAGUGAUUCACUGUGUGGAGUUGUGUGUGUUUGUACUUCCCUUCUACUGCAGUGAUUCCCAACCAGGGGUACUAGAACCUCUUGGGGUACUUGGUCUAUCCACAGGGAACUUGGGAAGACUCAUGAGCCCAUAGGCCUACUGGUAAAAUGCACACGAGGGGGUACUUUGGAAAGAGUAAAACAUUUUUGGUGGUAUAGUAACCAAAAAAGUUGGAAACCACUGCUCUACUGGGGACAUCUGUGGAGUGCAUUACUAUGUCUGACUCUGCUCUUAAAGUGGAGUUUAUGUCUAUGUCAUGGUAUAUUAUAAUGUGUUACCCUCUAGUGGUCAAUAUUCAAAGGAACCGUUUUUUUAUUGAUUAAGUAUAACACACAAAAUCACAGUCACUUUUCACAUAACUUAAUCAGUUUCAUCUAGAAAUACAUGUUUCACAUUGCGAUACAUAUUCAUAUAAAGUAUUUGCCUUUCACAAUGCAAUGCUCAC